GGUGGCUAUGCCGAGGGGGUCACACCCGUUCCCAUCUCGAACACGGAAGUUAAGCCCCUCUGGGCCGAUGAUACUGCACGGGCAGCUGUGUGGGAAAGUAGGUCGCCGCCGG
rnacentral:rRNA from 3 species